rnacentral:rRNA from 1 species
GAUGAACGCUGGCGGCAUGCCUAACACAUGCAAGUCGAUCGGUAAGGCCCUUCGGGGUACACGAGAGGCGGACGGCUGAGUAACGCGUGGGAACGCACCCCAAAGUGAGGGAUAACUGCCCGAAAGGGUAGCUAAUACCGCAUAUGGUCUUCGGAUUAAAGUUUUAACGCUUUGGGAGCGGCCCGCGUACUAUUAGGUAGUUGGUAGGGUAAUGGCCUACCAAGCCGACGAUGGUUAGCUGGUCUGAGAGGAUGAUCAGCCAGACUGGGACUGAGACACGGCCCAGACUCCUACGGGAGGCAGCAGUGAGGAAUAUUCCACAAUGGGGGAAACCCUGAUGGAGCAAUGCCGCGUGCAGGAUGAAGGCCCUCGGGUUGUAAACUGCUUUUAUUUGUGUUUUAAUUAGACGGUAACAAUUGAAUAAGGGGCGGCUAACUACGUGCCAGCAGCCGCGGUCAUACGUAGGCCCCAAGCGUUAUCCGGAGUGACUGGGCGUAAAGAGUUGCGUAGGUGGCUUAUUAAGCGUGCGGUAAAAGCAGCCGGCUCAACCGGUUUGUCGCCCGCGCGAACUGAUAAGCUCGAGAGUGGUAGAGGUAGCUGGAAUUACUAGUGUAGGAGUGAAAUCCGUAGAUAUUAGUAGGAACACCAAUGGCGUAGGCAGGCUACUGGGCCAUUUCUGACGCUGAGGCACGAAAGCGUGGGGAGCGAACGGGAUUAGAUACCCCGGUAGUCCACGCCGUAAACGAUGGAUGUUAACUGUGGGGGGUAUCGACCCCCUCCGUAGUAAAGCUAACGCGUUAAACAUCCCGCCUGUGGAGUACGGCCGCAAGGCUAAAACAUAAAGGAAUUGACGGGGACCCGCACAAGCGGUGGAGCGUGUUCUUUAAUUCGAUGCUAAACGAAGAACCUUACCAGGGCUUGACAUCCCUUAGCGAAUUUCCGAAAGGAAAUUUUCAUUUAGUUGGAAGGUGACAGGUGAUGCAUGGCCGUCGUCAGCUCGUGUCGUGAGAUGUUUGGUUAAGUCCAUCAACGAGCGCAACCCUUAUUGUUAGUUGUAUUUUUCUAGCAAGACUGCUUUCGUAAGAGAGAGGAAGGAGGGGAUGAUGUCAGGUCAGUAUUUCCCUUACGCCCUGGGCCAGAAACGCGCUACAAUGGCCGGUACAACGGGCAGCGAAACUGUAAAGUGAAGCAAAUCCCAUCAAAACCGGUCCCAGUUCGGAUUGAGGGCUGAAACUCGCCCUCAUGAAGCCGGAAUCGCUAGUAAUCGCAAGUCAGCAAAUUGCGGUGAAUACGUUCCCGGGUCUUGUACACACCGCCCGUCAAACCAUGAAAGUCAGGAGCACCCGACGUCCGAAUUUAUUUCGGCCUAAGGUGAGCUUGGUGAUUGGGGUU